UACGAAGGGGGCUAGCGUUGCUCGGAAUCACUGGGCGUAAAGGGUGCGUAGGCGGGUCUUUAAGUCAGAGGUGAAAUCCUGGAGCUCAACUCCAGAACUGCCUUUGAUACUGAGGAUCUUGAGUAUGGGAGAGGUGAGUGGAACUGCGAGUGUAGAGGUGAAAUGCGUAGAUAUUGGGAGGAACACCAGUGGCGAAGGCGGCUCACUGGACCGGUACUGACGCUGAAGCGCGAAAGCGUGGGGAGCAAACGGG
rnacentral:rRNA from 1 species